GGCUCUGAUUUCUGAAGCAAGUAAAGC
rnacentral:piRNA from 1 species